AUUGAACGCUGGCGGCAGGCCUAACACAUGCAAGUCGAGCGGAUGAAGGGAGCUUGCUCCUGGAUUCAGCGGCGGACGGGUGAGUAAUGCCUAGGAAUCUGCCUGGUAGUGGGGGAUAACGUCCGGAAACGGGCGCUAAUACCGCAUACGUCCUGAGGGAGAAAGUGGGGGAUCUUCGGACUUCACGCUAUCAGAUGAGCCUAGGUCGGAUUAGCUAGUUGGUGGGGUAGAGGCCUACCAAGGCGACGAUCCGUAACUGGUCUGAGAGGAUGAUCAGUCACACUGGAACUGAGACACGGUCCAGACUCCUACGGGAGGCAGCAGUGGGGAAUAUUGGACAAUGGGCGAAAGCCUGAUCCAGCCAUGCCGCGUGUGUGAAGAAGGUCUUCGGAUUGUAAAGCACUUUAAGUUGGGAGGAAGGGCAGUAAGUUAAUACCUUGCUGUUUUGACGUUACCAACAGAAUAAGCACCGGCUAACUUCGUG
rnacentral:rRNA from 1 species